UACGUAGGUGGCGAGCGUUGUCCGGAUUUAUUGGGUUUAAAGGGUGCGUAGGCGGCCUUAUAAGUCAGUGCUGAAAUAUCCCGGCUUAACCGGGAGGGUGGCAUUGAUACUGUAGGGCUUGAGUGUAGUCGAGGUAGGCGGAAUUGACGGUGUAGCGGUGAAAUGCUUAGAUAUCGUCAAGAACACCGAUAGUGUAGACAGCUUACUAGGCUACAACUGACGCUGAGGCACGAAAGUGUGGGGAUCAAACAGG
rnacentral:rRNA from 1 species